rnacentral:rRNA from 1 species
AAUGAACGCUGGCGGCGUGCUUAACACAUGCAAGUCGAGCGCAAAGGCGACUUCGGUCGCCCGAGAGCGGCGCACGGGUGAGUAACACGUGGAUAACCUGCCUGAGCAUGGGGAAUAACUUGGGGAAACCCUAAGCUAAUACCGCAUACGUCCACCGGGUUACGGUCCGGUGAAGAAAGACCGCCUCUUCUUGAAAGCGGUCGUGCUCAGAGGGGUCCGCGGCUGAUUAGCUAGUUGGUGAGGUAAUGGCUCACCAAGGCGACGAUCAGUAGCCGGCCUGAGAGGGUGAUCGGCCACACUGGAACUGAGACACGGUCCAGACUCCUACGGGAGGCAGCAGUGGGGAAUAUUGGACAAUGGGCGAAAGCCUGAUCCAGCAACGCCGCGUGGAGGAUGAAGGCCUCGGGUUGUAAACUCCUGUCAGGUGGAACGAAAAAUCGCCUGCCAAAGCAAGCAGGUCUUAUGACGGUACCACCAGAGGAAGCCCCUGGCUAACUCUGUGCCAGCAGCCGCGGUAAUACAGAGGGGG